GACGAACGCUGGCGGCGUGCCUAAUACAUGCAAGUUGAGCGCUGAAGGUUGGUACUUGUACCAACUGGAUGAGCAGCGAAUGGGUGAGUAACGCGUGGGGAAUCUGCCUUUGAGCGGGGGACAACAUUUGGAAACGAAUGCUAAUACCGCAUAAAAACUUUAAACACAAGUUUUAAGUUUGAAAGUUGCAAUUGCAUCACUCAAAGAUGAUCCCGCGUUGUAUUAGCUAGUUGGUGAGGUAAAGGCUCAUCAAGGCGAUGAUACAUAGCCGACCUGAGAGGGUGAUCGGCCACAGUGGGACUGAGACACGGCCCAAAAUCCUACGGGAGGCAGCAGUAGGGAAUCUUCGGCAAUGGACGAAAGGCUGACCGAGCAACGCCGCGUGAGUGAAGAAGGGUUUCGGAUCGUAAAACUCUGUUGGUAGAGAAGAACGUUGGUGAGAGUGGAAAGCUCAUCAAGUGACGGUAACUACCCAGAAAGGGACGGCUAACUACGUG
rnacentral:rRNA from 1 species